AUUGAACGCUGGCGGCAUGCCUUACACAUGCAAGUCGAACGGUAACAGGUCUUCGGAUGCUGACGAGUGGCGAACGGGUGAGUAAUACAUCGGAACGUGCCUAGUAGUGGGGGAUAACUACUCGAAAGAGUGGCUAAUACCGCAUGAGAUCUACGGAUGAAAGCAGGGGAUCGCAAGACCUUGUGAUACCAGACAGGCCGAUGGCCGAUUAGGUAGUUGGUGGGAUAAAAGCUUACCAAGCCGACGAUCUGUAGCUGGUCUGAGAGGACGAUCAGCCACACUGGGACUGAGACACGGCCCAGACUCCUACGGGAGGCAGCAGUGGGGAAUUUUGGACAAUGGGCGAAAGCCUGAUCCAGCAGUGCCGCGUGCAGGAUGAAGGCCUUCGGGUUGUAAACUGCUUUUGUACGGAACGAAAAGCCCCGGGUUAAUACCCUAGGGUCAUGACGGUACCGUAAGAAUAAGCACCGGCUAACUACGUGCCAGCAGCCGCAGUAA
rnacentral:rRNA from 1 species